GGGUAGCCGGCCUGAGAGGGCGACCGGCCACACUGGGACUGAGACACGGCCCAGACUCCUACGGGAGGCAGCAGUGGGGAAUAUUGCACAAUGGGCGCAAGCCUGAUGCAGCGACGCCGCGUGGGGGAUGACGGCCUUCGGGUUGUAAACCUCUUUCAGCAUCGACGAAGCGUGAGUGACGGUAGAUGCAGAAGAAGCACCGGCCAACUACGUGCCAGCAGCCGCGGUAAUACGUAGGGUGCGAGCGUUGUCCGGAAUUACUGGGCGUAAAGAGCUCGUAGGUGGUUUGUCGCGUUGUCUGUGAAAUCCUACCGCUUAACGGUGGGCGUGCAGGCGAUACGGGCAGGCUGGAGUACUGCAGGGGAGACUGGAAUUCCUGGUGUAGCGGUGAAAUGCGCAGAUAUCAGGAGGAACACCGGUGGCGAAGGCGGGUCUCUGGGCAGUAACUGACGCUGAGGAGCGAAAGCGUGGGGAGCGAACAGGAUUAGAUACCCUGGUAGUCCACGCCGUAAACGGUGGGUACUAGGUGUGGGUUCCAUUCCACGGGAUCCGUGCCGUAGCUAACGCAUUAAGUACCCCGCCUGGGGA
rnacentral:rRNA from 1 species